rnacentral:rRNA from 1 species
UACGAAGGGGGCUAGCGUUGUUCGGAAUCACUGGGCGUAAAGGGUGCGCAGGCGGGUUCUUAAGUCAGGGGUGAAAUCCCGAGGCUCAACCUCGGAACUGCCUUUGAUACUGUGGAUCUUGAGUUCGGAAGAGGUGAGUGGAACUGCGAGUGUAGAGGUGAAAUUCGUAGAUAUUCGCAAGAACACCAGUGGCGAAGGCGGCUGUCUGGUCCGGUUCUGACGCUGAGGCGCGAAAGCGUGGGGAGCAAACAGG